UACGUAGGGUGCGAGCGUUAAUCGGAAUUACUGGGCGUAAAGCGUGCGCAGGCGGUCUUGCAAGACAGGUGUGAAAUCCCCGGGCUUAACCUGGGAACUGCACUUGUGACUGCAAGGCUGGAGUGCGGCAGAGGGGGAUGGGAAUUCCGCGUGUAGCAGUGAAAUGCGUAGAUAUGCGGAGGAAGCACCGAUGGCGAAGGCAAUCCCCUGGGCCUGCACUGACGCUCAUGCACGAAAGCGUGGGGAGCAAACAGG
rnacentral:rRNA from 1 species